CCUACGGGUGGCAGCAGUGAGGAAUAUUGGUCAAUGGGCGCUAGCCUGAACCAGCCAAGUAGCGUGAAGGAUGACUGCCCUAUGGGUUGUAAACUUCUUUUAUAUGGGAAUAAAGUGCAGUAUGUAUACUGCUUUGCAUGUACCUUAUGAAUAAGGAUCGGCUAACUCCGUGCCAGCAGCCGCGGUAAUACGUAGGAGGCGAGCGUUAUCCGGAAUGACUGGGCGUAAAGGGUGCGUAGGUGGUUUGGCAAGUUAGUAGCGUAACUCCAAGGCUCAACCUUGGAACUACUACUAAAACUGUUGGACUUGAGUGCAGGAGGGGCAACCGGAAUUCCUAGUGUAGCGGUGGAAUGCGUAGAUAUUAGGAGGAACACCAGUGGCGAAGGCGGGUUGCUAGACUGUAACUGACACUGAGGCACGAAAGCGUGGGGAGCAAACAGGAUUAGAUACCCGUGUAGUC
rnacentral:rRNA from 1 species